rnacentral:rRNA from 1 species
GACGAACGCUGGCGGCGUGCCUAAUACAUGCAAGUAGAACGCACAGUUUAUACCGUAGCUUGCUACACCAUAGACUGUGAGUUGCGAACGGGUGAGUAACGCGUAGGUAACCUGCCUGGUAGCGGGGGAUAAUUAUUGAAAAGGUUAGCUAUUACCGCUUAUUUUUAAUUUUUCAUGGUAAUUUGUUUAAAAGUUCCAAUUGAUUAACAACAAAAGGACCUUGCGUUGUAUUAGCUAGUAGGUGAGGUAACGGCUCACCUAGGCGACGAUACAUAGCCGACCUGAGAGGGUGAUCGGCCACACUGGGACUGAGACACGGCCCAGACUCCUACGGGAGGCAGCAGUAGGGAAUCUUCGGCAAUGGACGAAAGUCUGACCGAGCAACGCCGCGUGAGUGAAGAAGGUUUUCGGAUCGUAAAGCUCUGUUGUAAGAGAAGAACGGGUGUGAGAGUGGAAAGUUCACACUGUGACGGUAUCUUACCAGAAAGGGACGGCUAACUACGUG